rnacentral:lncRNA from 1 species
CCUGAUGGAGCUGUCUUUCCUCUUCCAGUGGCUGCUCUUGCCCCUCUUCAGGUGAAGAACAUGCUGGCUUGUGGAUUCCUUAUUCCCAGCUCACAACGUUGUAGCCCUUUAUUAAACACCCCUAACAUGUUCCAGAUAGUCUUCCUUCCAAGACCCCAGGCAAUGCCUCUUCCAAAGGAAUGUACAACUCUUAGAAACAGGGACAUGGUCCCUGGCACAAUCCUAAGCACAGAGUAGGUACCUAAAGCUUGAAACCAAAAGUCAGCCCUCACUUAACAAAUGGAUGAAGAGUCAAAUAGAUUCUUAUUCUGGGCUAGGCAGCAGGUUAGCUACUAGAAGAGCCUAGUCUUCAGUUUUUAAAUUUAAUCUCAUAAACUCAGAAGACUCGUUGGCUCUUGGAGGUUUAGAUGAAUCUGGCUCACCUCUCAACCCCAGGGGUUCAAAGCUUGUGAAAAAUGCUUUGUUUCUCCAGAGAUGCCCCUGUCUCUACUCCCUUGGCUGUGACUGUC